rnacentral:rRNA from 1 species
UACGGGGGGAGCAAGCGUUGUUCGGAUUUACUGGGCGUAAAGGGUGCGUAGGCGGCGCGGUAAGUCACUUGUGAAAUCUCUGAGCUUAACUCAGAACGGCCAAGUGAUACUGCAGUGCUAGAGUGCAGAAAGGGCAAUCGGAAUUCUUGGUGUAGCGGUGAAAUGCGCAGAUAUCAGGAGGAACACCGGUGGCGAAGGCGGGUCUCUGGGCCGAUACUGACGCUGAGGAGCGAAAGCGUGGGGAGCGAACAGG